rnacentral:miRNA from 1 species
ACUGCACAGUAAGCACUUCCUG